UACGUAGGAUGCAAGCGUUGUCCGGAAUUAUUGGGCGUAAAGCGUGCGCAGGCGGUUAUGUAAGACAGAUGUGAAAUGCCCGGGCUUAACCUGGGAACUGCAUUUGUGACUGCAUGGCUAGAGUUUGGCAGAGGGGGGUAGAAUUCCACGUGUAGCAGUGAAAUGCGUAGAUAUGUGGAGGAACACCGAUGGCGAAGGCAGCCCCCUGGGUCAAGACUGACGCUCAUGCACGAAAGCGUGGGGAGCAAACAGG
rnacentral:rRNA from 1 species